CAUGGUGGCCGUAGGGCGUACAAUGAUUUUCGGGGCAUCAUGGCCAGAUUGAAGGGUAACGACGGCCAUGAAAUUCAUACGGUGAAGUACAUUAGUCAUCCAUGUUCACUUACUUACUCCCCAACAUUGUAAUCCCAGUUAUCCCUUGCCUGUUCUUCCUGUCUGUUUCAGUGACUCUUGGUUUUACCAGGUAGCACGAAUAAACCUUGCUUGUUACCAAAUUAAUUUAAGAGACCGGGCAUGCUGUUUCAUUACAUGUGUGGAUAUACAUGACAGGGACCUGGCUACAUGGUGCCAGGACAACAAUCUCUCUUUCAACGUCUGCAAGACUAAGCAGAUGGUCAUGGACUUCAGGAAGUGGCAGAGGGGGGGAUCACGCCCCCAUACAUAUCGAUGGAGGUGAAGUAGAAAGAGUCUCCGACUUCAAGCUCCUCGGUGUGUUCAUCAAAGAUGACCUCACCUGGUCCAGGCAAGCAGACUCAGCGUAAAAGCUGCCCAAAAGUGAGGGGAAAGUGGGACUGACUACCCAGGGCCCCAAUGGGAGGAGGGCCCACGAAAAUCUUGGAAUGAAAAUGUGUAUUUGUUUGGCAAAUUUUUUAUUUCUAAGUUAUUCGUGUCAUAAAUACAUUUACAUUUGCUGAAUAAAUCGGUUGAUUGACUGGAUUGUUUAUCCCAAAAAUAUAGUGGAGGCUCUGAGGUCACUCUCAGCCCUUACAAAAGGCUCAAAUUGGUUUAGUCAACCCGGCACCAGAAUACAUCUCUAAAUGCAGCUAAUCGAGCCGAGUGUCUGCUACUAUGAUAGACUCAUGCCUUUCUGCAAGAAAAGGGAAAUGGGGUACCAAAAAGAAAAGAAAGAAUGCAAACUGAGGGAAAACAACUGCUAAUUAAUUUCUUUGAAAAGAAAGGUGAGCACAACUGACACAGUUUAAGAAUGUUUUAAUAACACAAUAUCAGCAGUUGUUUAGAUUGAAGGCAGUCAGCCAGGUAUCUAGCUUGGUGCAUAUUUGCAUUGUAUAACAUGAAUCAAUCAGUAUCAUAAAUGAAUCAGCAUCUUAGGUAAAAUGUCAUAUGCAGGGCUGGAAAUUAAGUUUGCUCCCUCUUCACUCACCUAAUGCGAGUAGUUUACAUUUCGGACGAGUAGUGAAGUCAGCUCCAAUGAUGUUUUGUUCACUGUAGUUAUGUGUUUUCAUUGUAGUUAUGUGUUACAAAAUAAAUAUUAGCAUUAUACAUUGCCUUUUUACACUUAUUCUUGGAUUACUUUCAGUUCACAAAAUAGUUGUCAUUCUAGUGGAUAUAUAAUUUUGUGAACAGACUACAUUAACAUGAAUACUGUGAAAAUAUAUAGAGAAAACAUUUGUUUAUAAAUUACUAGCCCUGUUCCUUACUCUGUAAAGGCAGUUGCAAAGAGGGCUGGUAACAUUUUAGCCGUUCUGGUGGAAAUGUUGAUAUACUAGUCUGGCUCAUUAGUGCCAAAAAUCUUUAAGAUCUGUUGGAGAAAUGUUGCUAUUCCUUAGUACAAUGAAAUCAUAUUGCUUAUUCUAAGUAUAAUCCAGUCAUUUAGUAAGGCCUUUGUAUUUGAGUGAUUUCCACAACAAUUUGGAGUCGAGGAUGGGAUCAGAGGCGUUAGAAUGAGCCUGACACUUGCACACAGAAAUGGAGUCUGGUAGUAGGAUAGUGUCCAGUAGAUUAGCAACUAACAACAGAUUGUCUUACCAGAUGCUGUUA
ensembl:lncRNA